GAGGGUGUAGCUCAGUGGUAGAGCACACGCCGAGCACACACGAGGCCCUGGGUUCGAUCCCCAGUACCUCCA
rnacentral:tRNA from 1 species